rnacentral:tRNA from 1 species
AGCGCGGUAGGGGAGCUAGGUCGUCCCGUGGCCCUCAUAAGGCCGAGAUCGUCGGUUCGAAUCCGACCCGCGCCACCA